UACAGAGGUCUCAAGCGUUGUUCGGAUUCAUUGGGCGUAAAGGGUGCGUAGGCGGCGCGGUAAGUCGGGUGUGAAAUCUCGGAGCUUAACUCCGAAACUGCAUUCGAUACUGCCGUGCUUGAGGACUGGAGAGGAGACUGGAAUUUACGGUGUAGCGGUGAAAUGCGUAGAUAUCGGGAGGAACACCAGUGGCGAAGGCGACUACCUGGCCUGUUCUUGACGCUGAGGCGCGAAAGGCUAGGGGAGCAAACGGG
rnacentral:rRNA from 1 species